rnacentral:lncRNA from 1 species
AAGUAUAUUUAUAUAUAAAUAAUUAUAAAACAUUACAAAACUUUUCUCGGGAUCCCGUGGACCUUACCAGAGUGUUGGGCUCGUUCCAGCGCCCGUAAUUAUCCGAUCGAAUGUCUGAGGCAGUCGUCUACGUUGCGCGGUAUUUUUUUUGUUUCUACUUUCUUCGGACCCGGGUCUUCCCCAUUUUCUUACCGCCAGUGUCGGACUACUGGCCGUUUUGGCCCGGAAAUCCACCAACGUCGAUCGGCCUUUGGUCCGUAUUUACCUCCGAAAAUGCGCUCAAUAUUUUUAUGGGAAGCCGAAGAAAAAUAACUUUUUGUUUUUUACAUCUACAAAUAUCGAUAAGAAAAUAGAAUUUCGAACCGUUAUCUGGAUAUGUAAAGUGAAUAAACGAAAGCGAGAAAUCUAAGUCAGUUAGUUUUGUUAUCUUCCCAUACACGCAUUUACCCCGACAUUUAUAAAUCGGUGAAAUAAAAAUUAACGAACGACAAUUGUUUAUACCAAUGAUGGGCGAACUACGGCCCGCCACCACGAUACGUACGGCCCGAGAUCCGUGCGCGAGUGUAAGAAUUUUUAAAUUUUACCACAAAAAUAUUAAUUAUAUAAACGAGCGACAUAAUUAAUUAAUUAAAUUUUAAUUUUGUAUGCUAAAGCGUCCUCUUUAAAAAAAUCUGGUA